rnacentral:rRNA from 1 species
UAAUACGAAGGGGGCUAGCGUUGCUCGGAAUUACUGGGCGUAAAGGGAGCGUAGGCGGACAUUUAAGUCAGAGGUGAAAUCCCGGAGCUUAACUUCGGAACUGCCUUUGAUACUGGGUGUCUUGAGUGUGAGAGAGGUAUGUGGAACUCCGAGUGUAGAGGUGAAAUUCGUAGAUAUUCGGAAGAACACCAGUGGCGAAGGCGACAUACUGGCUCAUUACUGACGCUGAGGCUCGAAAGCGUGGGGAGCAAACAGGAUUAGAUACCCUGGUAGUCCACGCCGUAAACGAUGAUUGCUAGUUGUCGGGAAGCUUGCUUCUCGGUGACGCAGCUAACGCAUUAAGCAAUCCGCCUGGGGAGUACGGUCGCAAGAUUA